rnacentral:tRNA from 1 species
AGAAACUUAGGUUACACAUAAACCGGAGGCCUUCAAAGCCCCAAACAAGGCCAAACGUCUUAGUUUCUG